rnacentral:rRNA from 1 species
UACAGAGGUCCCGAGCGUUGUCCGGAUUUAUUGGGCGUAAAGAGCUCGUAGGCGGCUUGUCGCGUCGGCUGUGAAAACCCGCGGCUCAACUGUGGGCGGGCAGCUGAUACGGGCAGGCUGGAGUUCGGUAGGGGAGACUGGAAUUCCUGGUGUAGCGGUGAAAUGCGCAGAUAUCAGGAGGAACACCGGUGGCGAAGGCGGGUCUCUGGGCCGAUACUGACGCUGAGGAGCGAAAGCGUGGGGAGCGAACAGG